UAUUCAGGACAUUCUGCAGCUGCAGUUUGGAGUAAAAUUGUGCUCUGGGACAGGUGGUCCAAGCUACGUUUGCAGAAAUGCUUAUCUAUCGUUCUCUUCAUUUUAAACUCCGAGGAGGAAGCAAGAAACAUGGCCGCUAUAAAGACAGAUUUCAACAGGCCUUCUAAAUCCCCGGGACCUCUCCAAGGGCAAGGAAGCUAAUCAGUGCCUGAGAUGACAGAUAGGAUGUCGCGAUGAAGGCCCUGGAUUUUACAAUGAAGGAAGGAAGGAAGGAAGAGAGGGAGGGUGGGAGGGAACAAAACUGUGAGAAAUGGAUGAACUAAGAAAUGGAAAGCAAUAUAUUUCAGUUACUGAUGACAAGGAACAUCUACUGGUUAGGUUAGCCUUUGAAAGUUUGACAAUGUUGUGUAGAUAUUUAAAAUACAACUAGUUAUAUUUGUCAGCUGGUAUUUAAAACUGACUUGUUCUGGGUCAUUAUUCUUACUUAAUUUAAAUUUGUGCUGCCUUGAUGCUCUCAGGGUGAUAUUUGGAGGCCAGGUUUAUUUUAAGGUGUGACUUUGAACCUGUUUCUUGGCUUAGCUAGUCCUGUUUUCUCAUCUGAAAAAUGGAGGCCAGACACAUUGUCUGAUCAAUUUGUGGAAAGUAUUCAAUGAAGGGAUGCCUAAAAACACUGAUGUGAAAAGCAGCCAACAAAUUAGUAUCUUGUCAUUAUUAUUAAAUAUGAUUAAGCAGCUGGUCAGAUGUUACAAAGUAUUAAUCUUACCUGGGGUAACAAAGACUGGGACUCUACAUCACAAAUGCAGUGGUUCAGUGACUCUGGGCAGAUCCUUGGAUACAUUCUAAAGUAUCUAGGCAAGUGUUCUUUCAUUAUUAGAGAAAAUUAAGUAAAGGGACUCUACAUCAAGACAGUGCUGCUAGCCACCAGCUAGCCAGAGAAGUGGUGACUCGUGCAAAACCACCAAGAAGAGCCCCCCAUCUUACAUCCUUAGAGAGAUCUUGGGACAGAGAAGCAGUGCAAUCUCAGAAGAGAGGACAUGGCCUUUGCCCUUUAUGCUAGAGAUCAACUCCCUGAAUGCGUAGCAGUUCCUCCUCGCACUGAGGUGACAGCAUAAUGUGUGAUGGUGGCCCUCUCUCUGUGUGUUCAAAUCCAACUCUAUCUCAAUGCACAGUUAGGUCCUAUUUUCUCUGAGAAGCCUGGCCUGAUGGAUUUCACAGCUCAUAGGACUGGUAAAAUGCUUUUUACUAACUGUGUCCCAGCUUCUUUGUAAAAAAUUACUCUUGUUAUUAUUAUUUGCUGUAUUGGAGAUUUAACCCACACAUGUGCAGUAGGCAAGCAGUAUGUCAUGUCUAGUGUUUGUCUAAUCCCUUUGGCACUUGAGCUAGCCAGCCUGUUGGAGUAUACUGGGUGAAGAUGCAUCUAUUCAACUACUCAUUCUGUACUGUCCCUGGUCUUAUAUUUUAUAAAUCUUUGUCCCUUCCUCACAUGUCUAAAGCAAACUAGAAAUUGUAUCUUAUUGGCUUUAAUAAAGACCUGACAGCCAACAGCUGGGAAGGAGAUGGAAGCCAGAAGUCUGGGCAGAGGUAAGGACUCCAAGAGAAGAACCAAGAGGCAGAAGAUUCUCCAAUGAACACAAGAUGGGCAGAUGGACUAGAACUAAGCAAAAGAAGACUUGACCCCAUGGCUGGAUGUGGUGCCAGGAUUAAUUGGAUUAGAGUAGUUGGGAAACAGCCAGGCAAAAGGCCGAAAAUUUAAAAUAUUAAUAAACCUCUGUGUCAUUAUUUAUAUCACUGAUAGUUCCAAGAUAGUCCUGGUAUACCAGCUUAUGUAGGCAGUUUGUUGAAAAAAGUAGGAGAUGUAAAUUACACCCUCCCUCAUUAACCAAAUCAACAAAGAAUAAUGCCAGUUCAUGUCAUGGUAUCCAGAAAGGAAUAAACAUGGCUCCCUGCCCAAAGUUCAAAUUAUUAUUUGAAUUUUUCCCUGAUCCUUGUUUUCCUUGGAGAAGGAGAAUCUUUCUAGGAGUAGCCCAUGAAACAUGUAAAGAACAGCCUUGGGCACCUGCCUUUCAGGAUUGCUUUCUGCUUUAAGGAAGUCCAGAGAGGAAUCCCAAUACACAUUGGGACUGUCUUUGCCUGUUCUGUAUUUUGAAGAAGCCCCAGAAAUGUUCUUGCUGAGUGUCUUCUUGAAUCAAACAGGCCUUGACCCAAUAAGGUCCUGGAGACCUAAUGUCCCACUUAUGAUCCUGGAGCCCUAAGUGAGAAAGAAACCAUCGCCAAGAGAGAGCUUUGCCAAACGAUGACCAAAUAUGGUGAUCACCUAAUCUCUUGUCCCUAACCAAAAUAUUCCUUCCUAGAUCUCUUCUGAGAUUUUCCACAGCCAGAGCAGACCAGAGUCUACUGCUGGCAUUCAUUGCUGCAGAAAAGCACUUCUUCCAGUCUCCUUGGCAAUUUUAUAGAUGCUGAAGAGAGUUGAGUAAUAAAAAACAAAUAUUCCCCAUGUCUCAGAUGUCCAAGUUGUCCUUCGGGUUGAUGACGAUCAUUUAUAACAUUGCCUGUUUACUCUACAUGUGCACAUAAUUUACAUGAUCUGACUGCAGAAUACCUCACAAUUUCUAUAUUUUCAGAUGAGCUUGAAGAACUCGUGAAAUUUUGGAUAGGCUACCAGCAUAUGCUAUAGAGUAUUUUGUCCCUAAUGUCGGCAUGAAUAUAGUUUACCUACUGAAAUAGCUGCUACAUAUAGAUCUGCACACAGAUUUUCUUAUGAGCAAAGCACUUAGCUAAAAAGAAGAAAUCUGUGUGAAUGAGGAGGCCUAAAUUGACAUCUAGCCAGGCACAGUCAUCCUUUCUAAGGUAGCCAAGUCAGGCCUGCCUCUAGCUAAAUGUUUCCCUGGAGAGAACUUACCUUCUAAUGGAAUAGGAAGAUCUCAGUCAGAAUCUAGGACUGAAAACACAAAGAUAAAAAGGAAUCUUGAAUAAAUUUAGAUGAGCCAUUGUCAUUCGGCUGUUAGCUACAGGUUGCAUUAAUAUGGCAAUGGCUGGAGUUGAACAAUAAACUAUUCACUGUAUGAC
rnacentral:lncRNA from 1 species